GCACCUACUACAUGCCAGCCACUGUGCUAAGCACCAUCUGGGCCUCAGUUUUUCCAUCUGCAAAAGUAGGAACUGUGCUUCUGAACAGGGAAACGCUGGGCCUCUGGGUGGGGGCAGCCUUUGGGGCGGGACUGCAAUUCCGUCAUUGGAACCCAGGGACGCCCCGCAUGUUUCCGAACGGCCUCCAGGGGGCACCGCCGCCCUGAACUGAGAGCCACCGGAGCCGGGUAGGGGGAGGCCCAACUUUCCGCUCUGUCAGAGGAUGAUGCCGAGGGCCCAGAUGAGCAGGAUUUGGACUGUGUUGCUGGGAACGGGGGCCUACACUGGCCCCAGGAUGAGUUCGUCCGUACCUGGGGGCCCUGGGUUCUGACUCUCAGGUCAGACGCAGCCAAGAUGCAACUCAGGAACUUCAAGGUUUCCGCUCCGGCCAAGAGCCCCAGUCCGGCAGGGGAAAGGGUGGGGGAGUCGCCCUUGCUCCCCCAGCCUCAGCCCUCGGGAGGCGCAGCGUCAGGGCGGGCGGCAGCACAGAAACCCCCCGCGCCGCUAGAGGGACCCUCGCAGCAGCUGCG
rnacentral:lncRNA from 1 species